AUUGAACGCUGGCGGCAGGCCUAACACAUGCAAGUCGAGCGGAUGAGGGGAGCUUGCUCCUGGAUUCAGCGGCGGACGGGUGAGUAAUGCCUAGGAAUCUGCCUGGUAGCGGGGGAUAACGUCCGGAAGCGGGCGCUAAUACCGCAUACGUCCUGAGGGAGAAAGUGGGGGAUCUUCGGACCUCACGCUAUCAGAUGAGCCUAGGUCGGAUUAGCUAGUUGGUGGGGUAAAGGCCUACCAAGGCGACGAUCCGUAACUGGUCUGAGAGGAUGAUCAGUCACACUGGAACUGAGACACGGUCCAGACUCCUACGGGAGGCAGCAGUGGGGAAUAUUGGACAAUGGGCGAAAGCCUGAUCCAGCCAUGCCGCGUGUGUGAAGAAGGUCUUCGGAUUGUAAAGCACUUUAAGUUGGGAGGAAGGGCAGUAAGUUAAUACCUUGCUGUUUUGACGUUACCAACAGAAUAAGCACCGGCUAACUUCGUG
rnacentral:rRNA from 1 species